rnacentral:rRNA from 1 species
UACAGAGACUGCAAGCGUUAUUCGGAUUCACUGGGCGUAAAGGGUGCGCAGGCGGCUAGGUGUGUGAGGCGUGAAAGCCUGGGGCUUAACCCCAGAAUUGCACCUCAAACUACUUGGCUAGAGCAUUGGAGAGGGUAGCAGAAUUCAUGGUGUAGCAGUGAAAUGCGUAGAUAUCUGGAGGAACACCGGUGGCGAAGGCGACAUCCUGGACCGGCAUUGACGCUGAGGCGCGAAAGCCAGGGGAGCAAACGGG